GGCAUGGCGCCGGAUGAACGGAUAACUCUGAUGACGUUAAUUAAGGAGUUGUACUCCCUAUGCCU
rnacentral:tRNA from 1 species